UACAGAGGGGGCAAGCGUUGUUCGGAAUUACUGGGCGUAAAGGGCGCGUAGGCGGCCUUCUAAGUCGAACGUGAAAUCCCCGGGCUCAACCCGGGAACUGCGUCCGAUACUGGAAGGCUUGAAUCCGGGAGAGGGGUGCGGAAUUCCAGGUGUAGCGGUGAAAUGCGUAGAUAUUGGGAGGAACACCAGUGGCGAAGGCGGCUCACUGGACCGGAACUGACGCUGAGGCGCGAAAGCGUGGGGAGCAAACAGG
rnacentral:rRNA from 1 species